rnacentral:rRNA from 1 species
GACGAACGCUGGCGGCGUGCCUAAUACAUGCAAGUAGAACGCACAGUUUAUACCGUAGCUUGCUACACCAUAGACUGUGAGUUGCGAACGGGUGAGUAACGCGUAGGUAACCUGCCUGGGAGCGGGGGAUAACUCUUGGACACGAUAGCUAAUACCGCAUAAUAUUCAUUAUUGCAUGAUAAUUAAUUGACAGGUGCAAUUGCACCACUACCAGAUGGACCUGCGUUGUAUUAGCUAGUAGGUGAGGUAACGGGCCACCUAGGCGACGAUACAUAGCCGAACUGGGAGGGGGGACGGCCACACUGGGACUUGAACACGGCCCAGACUCCUACGGGAGGCAGCAGGAGGGAAUCCUCGGGAAUGGACGAAAGUCCGACCGGGCAACGCCGGGUGAGUGAAGAAGGUUGUCGGGUCGUAAAGCUCUGUUUUAAGGGAAGAAAGGGUGGUGGAGUGAAAAGUGCACAUUGUGACGGUACCUUACCAGAAAGGGACGGCUAACUACGUG